rnacentral:rRNA from 1 species
AUGAAUUAUGCUUAUGAAGAUGAACUUGCUAUAGUUCCUUAUGUUAAACAUGAAAUUGUUGCUAUUGCACCCACACACGAUAGUCCUAUUAUCUUUUUGAAUUCUCCCAACUACACUAUAUCGGAGAAGUUUGCACUUAUUAAGGAUUAUAUUGAUGGGUUGCCUUUUAAUACUACACAUGAUGAUUUUGAUGAAUAUAAUAUGCAUGUGCUUGCUACUCCUACUUGCAAUUAUUAUGAGAGAGGAACUAUAUCUCCACCUCUCUUUGUUUCCAAUAUGAUAGAAUUGCAAGAAACUGUUUAUACUAUGUAUUGGCCUUUACUAUGUGUGCAUGAAUUGUUCUUUUAUGACAUGCCGAUGCAUAGGAAGAGAGUUAGACUUCGUCAUUACAUGAUAUAUGUUACCUUGUGCUCACGACUAAAUUACAAAUCAUUGCUAAUUAAAAUUGGCUUUGAUAUACAUUGGGAUCCGGGUGGAUCCAUUACUUGA